rnacentral:rRNA from 1 species
ACUCAAAGGAAUUGACGGGGACCCGCACAAGCGGUGGAGCAUGUGGUUUAAUUCGACGCAACGCGAAGAACCUUACCAGGGCUUGACAUCCCCCGCGACUCGUGGAAACAUGGGGUUUGCGCCUUCGGGCGCAACGGGGAGACAGGUGGUGCAUGGUUGUCGUCAGCUCGUGUCGUGAGAUGUUGGGUUAAGUCCCGCAACGAGCGCAACCCCUACUUUUAGUUGCCAUCAUUAAGUUGGGCACUCUAAAGGAACUGCCGGUGACAAACCGGAGGAAGGUGGGGAUGACGUCAAAUCAUCAUGCCCUUUAUGUCCUGGGCUACACACGUGCUACAAUGGUCGGUACAGAGGGAGGCGAAGGAGCGAUCCGGAGCGAAUCCCAAAAAGCCGGUCUCAGUUCGGAUUGCAGGCUGAAACCCGCCUGCAUGAAGUCGGAAUCGCUAGUAAUCGCGAGUCAGCAUAUCGCGGUGAAUACGUUCCCGGGUCUUGCACACACCGCCCGU